GUCUAUGGCCAUGCCACCCUGAACAAGCCUGAUGUCUGAUCUCGGAAGCUAAGCAGGGUUGGACCUGGUCAGUACUUAGAUGAGAGACCACCUAGGAAGACCAGGUGCUAUCUAAA
rnacentral:rRNA from 1 species